rfam:Brassica napus, WGS project CCCW01000000 data, contig: 6950
GGAAUAUAAGAAACCGUUUCUUAACUUUAAAUUAAAAAACUAAGAACCGAUUCUUAAAUAUCUUAUUUAAGAACCGAUUCUUAGUUUUUUUAGUUUAAAGUUAAGAGACGGUUUCUUAUAUUCC